UACAGGGGGGGCAAGCGUUGUUCGGAAUUACUGGGCGUAAAGGGCUCGUAGGCGGCCAACUAAGUCCGACGUGAAAUCCCCAGGCUUAACCUGGGAACUGCGUCGGAUACUGGUUGGCUUGAAUUCGGGAGAGGGAUGCAGAAUUCCAGGUGUAGCGGUGAAAUGCGUAGAUAUCAGGAGGAACACCAAUGGCGAAGGCAGCACUCUGGGACGUGACUGACGCUGAGACGCGAAAGCGUGGGGAGCAAACAGG
rnacentral:rRNA from 1 species